rnacentral:lncRNA from 1 species
GCCUUUUAAGUUGUAUGCAUCCUGUAAUUAAGUAUUUUACUAACUUGGAAAAUUAUGUGGGUAGGAUGCAUCAUCACGUUGCACGUAUUAUUAUCAGAUUAUUUUCAGCUGGUGAGUGGGAUACAUUGCAUGCUUUGCAAUUUGUCUUAUUCACAAAGUUUUCCCGUCUUAAUUUUGAUUUGCUGAACUUUUCAUUAAACUAGUUGAGUUAAAGGGGCAUUUGAACAAAGAGAAAAUGCAUAAAAUUCCACAUUUUUUGUAUGUAUAUAUGUUUGAAGACACAUAGACACACGCACACACAUUAUGUUGUCACUAUUACCAAUAUAUUAC